rnacentral:misc_RNA from 1 species
UUUCCGUAGGUGAACCUACGGAAGGAUCAUUGUCAUGACCCUGGCCAAAACAGACCGCGCACGCGUCAUCCAUCCCACCGGAGGCGACACUGCCCGCUGUCCAGCCAAGUCCCUGACCACCUCCCCUCCCUAGAGGUGGGCCGGGGCGACAGAACCCACGGCGCCGAAGGGGUCAAGGAACACUAUGCCUAACUCGAGGGCGCGGCUGGCCUGCCGGCUGCCCCCACGUUGUGAUGCUAUCUGAUCCACAUGACUCUCAGCAAUGGAUAUCGUGGCUUUC